CCUGACGCAUCUCUAACUUUUAAUAGUAAGGAAACUCUCGUGACGCAGGAAGUUCUCUGAAGGGUUGCAGCCCAUUUUUUUUUUCAUGAGCCACAUUGCUUCAUACUUACUAGAAGGCAGUUCCGUCCGAGUUUUUGUUUUGUUUUGUUUUAAUUGUCCCCAUUUAACAGAGGCAAAGCCCAGCUGGUAUGACCUGACAUGUGAGUCCACUCUGUCAAACCCGAGGUUAAAAAAACAAGGAGCAAAUGGCCUUUGUUUACUGCUGCUUUGAAGACAGGACAAAGCUUAAAAGGAUUGAAACUCACGUUGGCCAAAGAUCACCGUGUUUUCCCGGAGGCUCUCUUGUUCACACCAUCCAUGGCUUGCUCUACGGAGGCGUACACAUAUGUGCCUCCCACUGUCUACACACGUCCAGUGUCCCUUAGUUGUUGGAUGGAUACUGAUGACCUGAACUUUUUCUCCAAAAAGCCUCCGUCCGCUUGUGAAAUAGGUACCCAUCCCACCCACAUUCCCAGUGCGCCACCACAGCUGCUACAAUAUGGAAUAUUGCAUGUUUCAGGAAGGAAAAGAGAAGACAGGGAUCCUACCCUUUUCUCAAUGUUUAUUUCACAAAGCCAAGUGACACUUCAUUUUCACAGGGCGUCAGGCAGCCCGCCCUUUGAUAAGUGAUCUUAUAAAAAUGUAAUAAAUUGACUAUGGCCUACGUUUUAAUUCGAUGGAAUUCAGCUGAAUCAGAG
rnacentral:lncRNA from 1 species